GACAGAGGGGGCAAGCGUUGCUCGGAAUUAUUGGGCGUAAAGAGCUCGUAGGCGGUCUGUCGCGUCUGCUGUGAAAACUCAGGGCUUAACCCUGAGCUUGCAGUGGGUACGGGCAGACUAGAGUGCGGUAGGGGAGACUGGAAUUCCUGGUGUAGCGGUGAAAUGCGCAGAUAUCAGGAGGAACACCGGUGGCGAAGGCGGGUCUCUGGGCCGUAACUGACGCUGAGGAGCGAAAGCAUGGGGAGCGAACAGG
rnacentral:rRNA from 1 species